rnacentral:tRNA from 1 species
AGGGGAGUAGCUCAAUUGGCAGAGCACUGGUCUCCAAAACCAACGGUUAAGAGUUCGAAUCCCUUCUCCCCUG